rnacentral:misc_RNA from 1 species
UCCGAGUUGACCCCGGCAGUCUCCUGCGAGUCCCCGCCAUUACGCGCUGGCAACACAGGACAAGGGUUGCGCUCGUUGCGGGACUUAACCCAACAUCUCACGACACGAGCUGACGACAACCAUGCAGCACCUUGUAAUCUGCCCGAAGGAAAAGCUGUUUCCAGCCCUGUCAGACUACAUUUAAGCCCUGGUGAGGUUCCUCGCGUAUCAUCGAAUUAAACCACAUGCUCCACCGCUUGUGCGGGCCCCCGUCAAUUCCUUUGAGUUUCAUUCUUGCGAACGUACUCCCCAGGUGGGUUACUUAUCACUUUCGCUUAGCCACUCAGUCUUGCGACCGAACAGCUAGUAACCAUCGUUUACGGCGUGGACUAC